GACGGAGGAUGCAAGUGUUAUCCGGAAUCACUGGGCGUAAAGCGUCUGUAGGUGGUCAAAUAAGUCAACUGUUAAAUCUUGAGGCUCAACCUCAAAAAUCGCGGUCGAAACUAUUAGACUAGAGUAUAGUAGGGGUAAAGGGAAUUUCCAGUGGAGCGGUGAAAUGCGUAGAGAUUGGAAAGAACACCGAUGGCGAAGGCACUUUACUGGGCUAUUACUAACACUCAGAGACGAAAGCUAGGGUAGCAAAUGGGG
rnacentral:rRNA from 1 species